GGGCUCAGUGCCAGCUGCUUAAAAAUGCCCCUGUGGCAGCGAGGGGCACCAGAGGCUGGGUCUAAUUAGUUGAGAAGCAGUGACACCCCCAACCACUCCCCAAACAGGCUGGCUCCCGUCUCCAGGCCCCAAGGAGCCACACCUGGACCAGACCCCAGGAAAGGCAAGGGCGCUAGCUGGUGGGAGCCACCCCGCCAUGCUGAUGUCAGAGAAGCAAGAACUCUGGAGAAGCAGCCUCCUGGGACCAGAGGAGGGCCAGCAGCAGGCAGCCCGGAGACAGAACUCUCACCCACGCCUCUCCAAGCCUCCCAACAGAAGACAGAGGUCCCCCACAGCCAGAGACAUUUCCUGAAGACAUGGGGAACACAGAGGCAGAAACAGCCCAUCCACCCAGGAGCUGUCCCCCACACUGCCGGGAGCCGGCACCCAGAGCCGCCAGGUAAAACUGAGGCCACCUGGUUCAACAUCACCUUUCACAGAAGGGGAAGCAGCCACAGAAAGAAGGGCCUCGUUAAGAAGUGGAACCUGGGACCCCCAAGCGGUGUCUCUCAUCCUGACUGGGGAUCCAGAGUAGGAGGGAGCCUUUGGUGGGACACAAAGGAACAGAACGAGGCACCAACAGCAAGGGGCAAGCAGAUUCAAGGGCCACAGAGGAGAUGGAGGCAAACACCUUCCCCUGGUCAGAGGCUGUGCCUCAGCCCUUCUCCCUGCAUCAGUUUCUCCUUCAGAAGCAUGGGACUACCUCCCAUCUAGUUCUCGUUUCUAAACCUAGGGGAGAUGCUAUCUUUGCUGCAAUAAUCUUAGCCUACAUCUUGGAAUGGAAAUGGCCUUGGUGGAAAUGGUCUUCAACUCCUCUGGUCCAAGCUCAGGCCCUGUGACCCUGGAACAAUCCCCUUCCUGGUCCUCCAUGUAGGAGCAAUAACAUUCCCUUGCCAGCAGCACCAGCCAUUCUGAUGAUUAAAUGGUAUCGGACUCUGUUUUCCAAACUCAGUCAUUCAGAUGCCCCCUAUUUUAUUUCUUCCAUGUCUGCAAAUGAUUAUAAUAUUUUUAAAUGUAGGAUGAGUCCUUUUUAUUACACAUAGAAAUAGCUACUGUAAAUAGCAAACUCUAACACUGUGCCUAAUUAGGAAAUAAAGGUAACCAUAAAUACAGUAAAAA
rnacentral:lncRNA from 1 species